rnacentral:rRNA from 1 species
AGUGAACGCUGGCGGUAGGCCUAACACAUGCAAGUCGAACGGCAGCACAGUAAGAGCUUGCUCUUACGGGUGGCGAGUGGCGGACGGGUGAGGAAUACAUCGGAAUCUACUUUUUCGUGGGGGAUAACGUAGGGAAACUUACGCUAAUACCGCAUACGACCUACGGGUGAAAGCAGGGGAUCUUCGGACCUUGCGCGAUUGAAUGAGCCGAUGUCGGAUUAGCUAGUUGGCGGGGUAAAGGCCCACCAAGGCGACGAUCCGUAGCUGGUCUGAGAGGACGAUCAGCCACACUGGAACUGAGACACGGUCCAGACUCCUACGGGAGGCAGCAGUGGGGAAUAUUGGACAAUGGGCGCAAGCCUGAUCCAGCCAUACCGCGUGGGUGAAGAAGGCCUUCGGGUUGUAAAGCCCUUUUGUUGGGAAAGAAAAGCAGCAGGUUAAUACCCCGCUGUCCUGACGGUACCCAAAGAAUAAGCACCGGCUAACUUCGUG